rnacentral:rRNA from 1 species
UACGGGGGGGCAAGCGUUGUUCGGAAUUACUGGGCGUAAAGGGCUCGUAGGUGGCCAACUAAGUCAGACGUGAAAUCCCUCGGCUUAACCGGGGAACUGCGUCUGAUACUGGAUGGCUUGAGGUUGGGAGAGGGAUGCGGAAUUCCAGGUGUAGCGGUGAAAUUCGUAGAUAUUCGCAAGAACACCAGUGGCGAAGGCGGCUCACUGGCCCGGUACUGACGCUGAGGUGCGAAAGCGUGGGGAGCAAACAGG